GACGAACGCUGGCGGCGUGCUUAACACAUGCAAGUCGAACGGAAAGGCCCUGCUUUUGUGGGGUGCUCGAGUGGCGAACGGGUGAGUAACACGUGAGUAACCUGCCCUUGACUUUGGGAUAACUUCAGGAAACUGGGGCUAAUACCGGAUAGGAGCUCCUGCUGCAUGGUGGGGGUUGGAAAGUUUCGGCGGUUGGGGAUGGACUCGCGGCUUAUCAGCUUGUUGGUGGGGUAGUGGCUUACCAAGGCUUUGACGGGUAGCCGGCCUGAGAGGGUGACCGGCCACAUUGGGACUGAGCUACGGCCCAGACUCCUACGGGAGGCAGCAGUGGAGAAUAUUGCACAAUGGGAGGAAGCCUGAUGCAGCAACGCCGCGUGCGGGAUAACGGCCUGCGGGUUGUAAACCGCUUUCGUCUGUGACGAAGCGUGAGUGACGGUAAUGGGUAAAGAAGCACCGGCUAACUACGUG
rnacentral:rRNA from 1 species